rnacentral:rRNA from 1 species
UGGGAAUUUGGACAAUGGGCGAAAGCCUGAUCCAGCAAUGCCGCGUGUGUGAAGAAGGCCUUUGGGUUGUAAAGCACUUUUGUCCGGAAAGAAAUCCUUGGCUCUAAUACAGUCGGGGAUGACGGUACCGGAAGAAUAAGCACCGGCUAACUACGUGCCAGCAGCCGCGGUAAUACGUAGGGUGCAAGCGUUAAUCGGAAUUACUGGGCGUAAAGCGUGCGCAGGCGGUUUGCUAAGACCGAUGUGAAAUCCCGGGCUCAACCUGGAACUGCAUUGGUGACUGGCAGGCUAGAGUAUGGCAGAGGGGGGUAGAAUUCCACGUGUAGCAGUGAAAUGCGUAGAGAUGUGGAGGAAUACCGAUGGCGAAGGCAGCCCCCUGGCCAAGUACUGACGCUCAUGCACGAAAAGCGUGGGGAGCAAAACAGGAUUAGAUACCCUGGUAGUCCACGCCCUAAAACGAUGUCAACUAGUUGUUGGGGAUUCAUUUCCUUAGUAACGUAGCUAACGCGUGAAGUUGACCGCCUGGGGAGUACGGUCGCAAGAUUAAAACUCAAAUGAAUUGACGGGGUCAUAGCUGUUUCCU